rnacentral:rRNA from 1 species
GANGGGGGCGCCGAAAAAAUUUUAGCCGUGCUGUGGACAAAGACAGGUGGUUGCAUGGCUUGUCGUGCAGCUCGUCGUCGUGAGAUGUUGUGGUUAAGAUCCGCGCAACGAGCGCAACCCUUAUGGAUAUGUUACUACGCAAGAGGACUCUAUUCACACUGCCGUUGACAAAACGGAGGAAGGUAGGGGAUGAGCGGUCAAAUCAUCAUGUCCCUUUAUGACUUGUGGCUUACACACGUACUACAAUUGGCGUUCAAGCAAAGAAAGCGAAGCCGCAGACGGCAGAGCAAAACUCAAAACACAACGUCCCAGUUCAAUUGCAGGCUGCAACUCGCCUGCAUGAAGUCGGAAUUGCUAUAAUCGCAAUCAGCAUGCUGCGGUGAAUACGUACCCGGGUCUUGUACACACCCGAACGCG